AGAACAUUGAGAAUUUGUACAAAUAGAGGCGGAUCCAGGAAGAUUCGAAAAUUUCGUAUGUCAUACUGUUCAAGUAAAAUAAACGGUUGUGAUGGCCGAUCGAUAUGAUGGAAAAUAUUUUCUAGGAAAAUAAUUGAGUUGCUGCUUUUUUUUUAUGUGCGUUUGGUAUGUUUGUAAAAAGUAUGAUACAAAGUUAUUUUAUAUAAUUUAGACAAAUGUUAUGAGCGAUGGGGAUGUAAUCGAGUGGUGCAAAUGUCACUUGUUAAAACUUGUUUUCCAUAAGUCCAUUAAGGAAGUUAUUUUUCUCGA